rnacentral:rRNA from 1 species
GAUGAACGCUGGCGGCGUGCCUAAUACAUGCAAGUCGAGCGAACAGGCGAGGAGCUUGCUCCUUGGACGUUAGCGGCGGGCGGGAGAGUAACACGUGGAUAACCUACCUAUAAGACUGGGAUAACUUCGGGAAACCGGAGCUAAUACGGGAUAAGAUGUUGAACCGCGUGGUGCGACAGUGAAAGACGGUCUUGCUGUCACUUAUAGAUGGAUACGCGCCGCAUUAGCUAGUUGGUAAGGUAACGGCUUACGAAGGGAACGAUGCGUAGCCGACCUGAGGGGCGGAUAGGCCACACUGGAGCGGAGACACGGUCCAUGCGACUACGGUAGGCAGCAGUAGCGAAUCGUACGCAAUGGGCGAAAGUCUGACGGAGCAACGCCGAGUGAGUUAAGAAGGUCUUCGGAUCGUAAUACUCUGUUACGAGGGAAGAACAAAUGUGGAAGUAACUAUGCACGUCUUGACGGUACCGAAUCAGAAAGCCACGGCUAACUACGUG